AGCAGCCGCGGUAAUUCCAGCUCCAACAGCGUAUAUUAAAGUUGUUGCAGUUAAAAAGCUCGUAGUUGAAUUUCGGGGUCAGUAGGCUGGUCGUGCCACAGGUAUGUACUGGUCUCACUGAUUCCUCCUUCCUGAUGAACCGUAAUGCCAUUAAUUUGGUGUUGCGGGGAAUCUGGACUGUUACUUUGAAAAAUUAGAGUGUUUAAAGCAGGCUAACGCUUGAAUACAUUAGCAUGGAAUAAUGGAAUAGGACGAUCGAUCCUAUUUUGUUGGUUUCUAGGAUUGACGUAAUGAUUAAUAGGGAUAGUUGGGGGCAUUAGUAUUCAAUUGUCAGAGGUGAAAUUCUUGGAUUUAUUGAAGACUAACUACUGCGAAGGCAUUUGCCAAGGAUGUUU
rnacentral:misc_RNA from 1 species